rnacentral:rRNA from 1 species
AACGAACGCUGGCGGCAUGCCUAACACAUGCAAGUCGAACGAGACCUUCGGGUCUAGUGGCGCACGGGUGCUUAACGCGUGGGAACCUGCCCUUAGGUUCGGAAUAACUCCCCGAAAGGGGUGCUAAUACCGGAUAAUGUCUUCGGACCAAAGAUUUAUCGCCUUUGGAUGGGCCCGCGUUGGAUUAGCUAGUUGGUAGGGUAAAAGCCUACCAAGGCGACGAUCCAUAGCUGGUCUGAGAGGAUGAUCAGCCACACUGGGACUGAGACACGGCCCAGACUCCUACGGGAGGCAGCAGUGGGGAAUAUUGGACAAUGGGCGAAAGCCUGAUCCAGCAAUGCCGCGUGAGUGAUGAAGGCCUUAGGGUUGUAAAGCUCUUUUACCCGGGAUGAUAACGACAGUACCGGGAGAAUAAGCUCCGGCUAACUCCGUG